rnacentral:rRNA from 1 species
UACGAAGGGGGGCUAGCGUUGCUCGGAAUCACUGGGCGUAAAGCGCACGUAGGCGGAUCUUUAAGUCAGGGGUGAAAUCCUGGAGCUCAACUCCAGAACUGCCUUUGAUACUGGGGAUCUCGAGUCCGGGAGAGGUGAGUGGAACUCCCGAGUGUAGAGGUGAAAAUUCGUAGAUAUUCGGAAGAACACCAGUGGCGAAGGCGGCUCACUGGCCCGGUAUGACGCUGAGGUGCGAAAGCGUGGGGAGCAAACAGG